AUGGCACCUUACUGGAAUAGUGGUGCCGGGGGCGAUCCGCUCCCUCCGCACUCCCGUUCCUCCGCCAGUGCCCAGAGCCGCUUCCUACUAUGAACUGCAGUGAGGAAAACUUAAUUCAUGGCUUGCUUUAGUACUUUUCAUAAAACCAGCAGCUACGGUAGUACACAGGUGUGUAGGAAAACUCAGGCCUGCCUUAUGCCCACUGGAAUUCUGCCCUUGCAGCAAGCCAAUUCCCUUGCUCCAUCUGCACAAUUAUUCUGGAGGGAAUGGGGUUAUUUCCAUACUUAUUAACAAAACCCAACUUUCUAAACCAUACUGCUGCUGCUGUUUGAUAUCACUUGUACCCUAAGCUUAUUUUAUACUAUUCUUACUAAGUCUGGACAGAUUUGAAGAACCUUAUUAAAACUCUUUUGCCAGAUUUACCCUAUCCCAGUUAUGCCUCACCAACACUGUAGCUUGUGUUAAAAUCUCUGUUUCAACCCCUACUGACCUAUUGAAGCACAGGUCUGCUUCUGCUAUCCUAUCCUGAAAUUUUGUUCUGGCUCUCCUACUAGACACCAGAGCCUUGUAGGGUAAGCAGUCUCAGAAAGCUAGCAUGCUUGACUCUUAAUUAGUGCAUAAAGGGGUUAAAACCAUAGAGCAAGCUGCCCUGUGAGGCUUAGCCUAUGUCACUUCCCCUCACCUUGGGAGGAAAUAGGUAAUCAAGCCUUUUUUAAUCCCACUCCACAUGUGGAAUUCAGCAUGUGAGGAGGUCUCAGCAAGCCAGCCAGCUGUAUGGUUUUUUAACCAGCUUAUUUUGUUUCAGACAAGAAUGGAGUUUGAAACUAGUAUUUUUUUCUAUGCCAAUAGUUUAGGAACUUUUACCUUUUGUAACUAAGCAACGUUUUACAGCUGUAUGGAAAAACACAUGGAUCUGACCUUGGAAGAGUUUUAUGAAGCUGUGGAAAUUCUGAAUUGUCUGUGAUCAGCAUGGAGACCAGAAAACAGAAGCUCAAUCCAGAUAAGCAUUGGCGAUACAAAAUCUUCAUCCUGCUCAGAAACAGAAAGAAGAAAAAGAAAAAGAAAAAGCAGCCAGCUGCUCAUUAAUAAAACACAUCAGAUUUAAACAGAAACCUGUGUUUAUAUCAUUAGCUACUUCUGCAUUGAAGGAAACCAUAAACAUCCCAGCCUCCUAGCUUUAUUUCUAUUCACUGUUUGCUCUAAUGGAGCCCUGCUUGAUUCCCAAAUGUUGAAAUGUUUAAACUGAGCUCCCAGCUGGUAGAGCCAUAAGCCAUGUAAAGAGCACAGAGGAACUCUCCUGCUAAUUGCACACAUUGACAUCUAGGCAAAUACUUGGCUCUCCAUCCUUAUUUCAGAAUGCUACAUAAGAUGUACUGUUUGCGCAAAAGGGUGGGGAGAAGAAAGAAG